AACGCGAAGAACCUUACCCAGGUUUGAAAUACAGAGCGCGGCACCAGAAAUGGUGUCUCCCGCAAGGGGUUUUGUACAGGUGCUGCAUGGCUGUCGUCAGCUCGUGCCGUGAGGUGUUGGGUUAAGUCCCGCAACGAGCGCAACCCUUAUCAUUAGUUGCCAACACGCGAGGUGGGGACUCUAGUGAGACUGCCCAGGUUAACUGGGAGGAAGGUGAGGAUGACGUCAAGUCCGCAUGGCCUUUAUAUCUGGGGCUACACACGUGCUACAAUGGUCGGUACAGAAGGCAGCGAAGUCGCGAGAUGGAGCAAAUCCGUAAAGCCGAUCUCAGUUCAGAUUGUAGUCUGCAACUCGACUACAUGAAGUUGGAAUUGCUAGUAAUGACGUGUCAGCAACAACGUCGUGAAUACGUUCCCGGGCCUUGUACACACCGCUGUA
rnacentral:rRNA from 1 species